UACGGGGGGGGCAAGCGUUGUUCGGAAUUACUGGGCGUAAAGGGCGUGUAGGCGGCCAACUAAGUCCGACGUGAAAUCCCCAGGCUUAACCUGGGAACUGCGUCGGAUACUGGAUGGCUUGAAUUCGGGAGAGGGAUGCAGAAUUCCAGGUGUAGCGGUGAAAUGCGUAGAUAUCUGGAGGAAUGCCGGUGGCGAAGGCGGCAUCCUGGACCGACAUUGACGCUGAUGAGCGAAAGCUAGGGGAGCAAACGGG
rnacentral:rRNA from 1 species